UACGAAGGGGGCUAGCGUUGUUCGGAAUCACUGGGCGUAAAGCGCACGUAGGCGGAUCUUUAAGUCAGGGGUGAAAUCCCGAGGCUCAACCUCGGAACUGCCUUGAUACUGGGGAUCUCGAGUCCGGGAGAGGUGAGUGGAACUGCGAGUGUAGAGGUGAAAUUCGUAGAUAUCGCAAGAACACCAGUGGCGAAGGCGGACUCGCUGGCCCGAUACUGACGCUGAGGCACGAAAGCGUGGGGAGCAAACAGG
rnacentral:rRNA from 1 species